rnacentral:rRNA from 1 species
UACGUAGGGUGCAAGCGUUAAUCGGAAUUACUGGGCGUAAAGCGUGCGCAGGCGGUUUUGUAAGUCUGAUGUGAAAUCCCCGGGCUCAACCUGGGAAUUGCAUUGGAGACUGCAAGGCUAGAAUCUGGCAGAGGGGGGUAGAAUUCCACGUGUAGCAGUGAAAUGCGUAGAGAUGUGGAGGAACACCAGUGGCGCAGGCGGCGUCCUGGACCGGCACUGACGCUGAGGAGCGAAAGCGUGGGGAGCGAUCCGG